GCGACAGGGGCUGGCUUGGUAAUGGUACUCCCCUGUCACGGGGAAUGUGGGUUCAAAUCCCAUCGGUCGCGCCA
rnacentral:tRNA from 2 species